rnacentral:pre_miRNA from 1 species
ACAUUCAAGUGGCUGUUGUGCGUUCUCAGGUCCCAUAUUCGUAUCACAGCCAGCUUGGAUCAGG